AAAUCAUACCUACCACUGCCUCCCGACUUCAUAAAUCUCAAAAGCUAAUGCAUAAAGCAAAGGCAAGUAGAGAGGAAUAUGACGAUGGAUAUGCCAUUUCAAGCCCCAUCUUGGUGAGGCUUUUUCCUCAGCAUCUCCUUUGAACUGCUUUUUUUCCCCAUCUCACCUGCAAUGCGUGGAGAUGAGAGUGGAAGGAAUCUAAUAUGCUUGGGAAAAAAGCCUUUUUCUAGAAGUAGAUGCAAAGGAUAAGAAAAACUUGAUCAUGGCCGUGAAAAGUUGCCUUUGAAGGAGAUCAAUAGCACACCUCUCUAGCAUAUGCUUAUUCUUCAAUGGUUUAUUCGGUGUCAUAAGCCCCCGGUGAAGGGCAUAUAAA
rnacentral:lncRNA from 1 species